ACCUAUCUGAUGAGUCCAAAACAGAACGAAACGUCCGUCCCACAU
rnacentral:hammerhead_ribozyme from 1 species